GGUGUAGCGUCACCCUAUCACAUCAAAUGAGAAUAGCCUCGUGAGAGAAUUACGAUUCGCUUGUCCCUUGUUAGUUAUUGUCGCUUCGUCACUAAAUUAAUCUUCUUGUCGCUGUUUGUCUCUAAAAUUUUUAUUGUCUCUUAUUAGUGAGACAGUCAGUUCCGUCCUUAACUUCCGUUUUUGCACUGCAAAACAACCACACAAUUAACGAUGCCUAGUCCUUGUUGGUGUUUACCUGCGUGUCAUUUAAGAGGAGGACAUGCAUUUCUAAAUGACUUAAUAAGAAGGAAAAGUUGGAUCAACGCCAUGGCUCAAACGUAGAUUGUCACGUGCGAUGCAAUCGUAGAGCCCAUACCAAUCAGCUGUUGUUUGCAAGGCACAUUUUACUGAAAACGACUACGUUCAGGAAACUAUUCAUGGUAAAACUUUAUUUUCUUUAAGAAAUAUAUACUGUUAUUUAUAUAAUCGCCAUGCAAGUAAACCAAAGUCUGUUUGCAACCGCAAUUAUCGUUUUAGAAUAAAAAAGGGGGGGGGGUGAAUUCAAGACGUCAUAAUUUUUGGGAUUACGAUUCAAUAUCAUCUGUUUGACAUUUUUUGGUUAAUACUACAAUUGUAUGGGUUUUCUACAAGAGAUAUAUUAUACUGAUAAUUAUUUUAGCAGUAAUUUUGUUAAUUUAGGUUGUAAUGACAAGAAUUCAUGAGCUAUGCCUCGGGCUUUCUUGAAAAAUAUCAAUGACAAUGUAAACAGGAACAAAACAUUGACAUGAAUGAUGCUCUCCACCUAUGUUAUAGUUAUUUAGGUAUGUGUGUUGCACACGUCUUUCACAAGUUUCAAAAAAAGCUAAUGUUAUAAAACUUUUUUCAGGGCACAAACCCACUUUAAAGAGACUUGUCUACUGCCAUUCCCAUCCUAUUUUCUUGCACCAUUUGUAAGCAAGAGACUGAAUGGUUUGCAAAAUUAAAAAUCAGGACGGUGUCCCGUUAAACCAAAAGAACUAAACUGGAUGAAUAUUGUAGGAGAAAUCUAGAGGAAAGUUUUGAUUUGUGAAAUUGGGUUUCCUGAACAGACAUUCAUCCUGCAGGAAAAAUUUAUAACUGUCCACCACUAACUGACGAGCUAAUGUUGAGCUUCACAGAUGGAAUUACUCAAACACCAUCAAUGCCUAUGUUUUCAGCACAGAUUUCACAAAUCAUGACACAGC
rnacentral:lncRNA from 1 species